UCACCUUCUAGUUACCUUCUCUUCUUCUAACUCCAUCUUCUUUGACAGCACUGCUUUCUUCAACAAGACUAAGUCAUGUAAUUCUCUAGUUCUUGGCAGAACAACCAAGUGGAAGGCAGAGGGCU